GUGACAGCGACGGGGCUGAGCCCGGGACGGGCUGACGGGGCCGUGGCCUUGGGCUCCGCCGGACGCUGUGUCCCGGCUUUCCUCCCUCGGGGCUCAGCCCUCGAGCGCAGGGGUAGCUUUGAGGUCUGACUUUUCUAGAUUUUUAUGCAUUCCAGUAGAGGAACUCUAUGGCAUAUUAAUUACUUCUGUGAUUCUAGAACCAUGACUGACGACCUAAUUGCUUUCUGUGAUGUGGCCAUUGACUUUUCCCAGGAGGAGUGGGACUGCCUUGAGCCAGCUCAAAAGAACUUGUAUGUGGAUGUGAAGCUGGAAAACUACAGAAAUGUAGUCUCACUGGGUAAG